rnacentral:rRNA from 1 species
AUGGUGCGAGGGUGCAUCAACGACCAGUCAGUGCGCCCUGCUGCCCAGCCGCGCUUGCAGUCUGUCGCCUGGGGGCUGGUGAACGGCGAGCCUCGCCAUCGCGACUGCGACAACGAACGUCGUAGAGAUGAUGACCGUGACUGUGAAGACCGGUUCAGAGACAAGCGAUCUGCGGGUCGCCUUUCAUGUUGGGGCUCCGUUGCUGCUGCCACCACCACCAUGGACUCUCGCGGGCGCUCACCUCCACCGUCGCCGCGCACCACUUCUCAGGACAUCGUCCAGAUCAAGACUUCCUGCUCUGCAAUGAUCUCGCCUCCGCCGUCGCCGCGCACCACCUCUCGGGACAUCAUCCAAAUUCUGCCUACCAGCUCUGUCUUGAGUUGGCUUUGCAGAUCCACCGCUAGCCUGAAUGCUACGAUCCGGCCGUCCAAAAUGCUGGAUGUUGGCGAGGCGCCCGACCACAUCGUGUUGUGCACUGAGGCGCACCUAGGCCCUGCGGCCUUCCCUUCCAGUUCGACAGAGGGGGGCCUAAUCUCGUCGAAUGCAGCGAUGGAGAUCGCUUUGGCCACUUCAGAUCUGACUGAUGCUACACCAGAACCUAUCCUCGACACACCGACACCGUCGCCGCUGCCACAUGGUCAUGAAGAGACAACUCCAAUUGAUCAUGAAGUGACAACGCCAAUUCAUAUCCCUUCCUUCCACGCACAGACGGAGGGCCAGGAGGACACACCCAUCUUCGUCCCGCGCAUGCCGGCGCUGCUGCCUUCUCCUGCUAUGUGCUCUACGCCUCCAAGGGCACCGAAAGCAAGAAGAAAAACCCUCGCAGGGGUCACCGGCCUACAGCUCAUUUGCCACAGUCCGCGUCUUCGGGCAAAGAACAAGAACAUGCCGAUCGCCAAACUUGCGGAGAAGUUACUAUGUCAUCGGAUGGGCAUCGUGGCCGAAGGAGAGCAGAUAACUGAGGCAGCAAUUGCAAAAUUUGCCUCGUUGUUCCAAGGGCGCCUCCCUGACAUUGCGAUUGCGGCUCUUCGAGCCCUAUUUAGACUUGACUGCGAUCUCUCUGCUGCUGUUGAAGAAGCCCUGGUCCAUCAUGGAGGACAGGGAGGUCUAGACGUGAGCGACGCUGCCACGGGCGAUGUAUGA